UGGCCAGCAAGUGCUAUCCCUACCUUCUCGUGGUACAAGCCGGGCUGUGCGCAACCUUAGGGAAGAUCGGAUAAUCAACCCCGGUGGGAACUUUGGUCGUAGGCUGACAGGGAGGG
rnacentral:ribozyme from 1 species